GCCUGAGUGACGAAAUUGGUAGACGUAGCGGAUUCAAAAUCCGCCGGUGAAUAACCGUGUCGGUUCGAGUCCGACCUUAGGCACCA
rnacentral:tRNA from 1 species